AGUUGUGCCUUUAGUUUAAUUAGGUGAAAAAAGAUGAGAUGUAAUUUAUCUUUUAAAGAAAGAUUAUGUUGCUGUAUAUUUGCACUAAUCACAGGACUCAUGUUGUUUUAAAUCAUUUGUUAAUUAUUUUAAAUUCUGCUUUUUAAUCUACUGCUGUUAAAUUUCAGAUUCUAUUAUACCAAGAAACUGGUUUACCGGGCCAGAGGAAGAGGAGUGUUACUGGCCACCUUCCUCCACUGUCAAGAGGGAAGAGACCCACAGGAGAUUGGAUGAAAUUCCAAGUGCGAGUUUUGGGAAAAGCUGCUGACUAUGCAGCUGCCAGAACAAAGCUGCGUAAAGCUGAAGUGACUUCAGAUCUUCAGACGGAUCCAGAACCAGAAAGAGCCAAGCGUAAAAAAAAAGAAGCACAAACGCCAGUUCGCAGCACUCCAGCACAGGCAGGUUCUACCAAUACUCCCUGCAGACAAGUUCAGCCCAGUG